GUUGAACUACCCCGUUGGUGACAGCCUUCUUCUAGUGCUCUGAUCUGACUCUCUUUCGACUUGGGGCAACUGUCGUGAUGGUGCCGUAGACCGGCCUCGUAGCCGGAAACGAAGCCUCACUUUGUCGCCCCUUCUGGUAACUCCAGGUCGAUCACUGGGGCUUGCACGGCUGGGUGGUUCACCC
rfam:Synechococcus WH7803 complete genome sequence.